UACAGGGGGGGCAAGCGUUGUUCGGAAUUACUGGCGUAAUGGGUUCGUAGGUGGCCACUUAAGUCAGACGUGAAAUCCCUCAGCUUAACUGGGGAACUGCGUCUGAUACUGAGUGGCUUGAGUGCAGGAGAGGGAUGCGGAAUUCCAGGUGUAGCGGUGAAAUGCGUAGAUAUCUGGAGGAACACCGGUGGCGAAGGCGGCAUCCUGGACUGUAACUGACACUGAGGAACGAAAGCCAGGGGAGCAAACGGG
rnacentral:rRNA from 1 species